rnacentral:rRNA from 1 species
AUGCAAAAUGCAUUGUUGAAGCUGUGGGCAAUGGUUGAAGAUAGCAGGAGUGCUAGGGUGAAUGAUAAUCUUGAAAGUUCUUUCACUAUCCACCAUCUGACAGAAGAGAAGAACAAGUUGGAGGCCAACUAUGAUAAGCUAGUCCAAGAUGUGCAUGAGCUUAUGAGCUUCCAGAAGGAGAGGGUGGUGGAUUUCGGACAUCUGCAGUCUGCCAUUACAUAUCAGCAUGAAUGCAGAAGUGACCUGGUGGCUGAUAUGAAGGCACAGAUGGCAAAGAGAGAUGCAGAGUCUAAGAAGCUUAAGCAGAAUUAUGAAGUGCUACUGAACCUGACAAGAUCUCAAGCUACAGUCAUCCAGAACCUGAAGUUGAAGCAUAUUACAGACAAGCAAUUGCUUAGUGAAGCUAAGAUGAACUUGGAGUUGAAGAAUGCAGAGCUCACAAAGUCUGAGGAGAAGCUCACCCAAGAUAAGCUAGAGUUGAAGUUUCAGGUUUUAGAUUUGCUUAAGGGAAAGGAAAAGCAUGGUGAAGAGAUGGUGCAGCUAGAGCUUCAGUUUGCUGAGCUGAUGAAGGCAGAGGAGAAGCUGAAGGAGAAGAUCAAGGGGAUCCAGGCCAUCUUAGAGAAGUGA